GGCUAAAGUUAGCUUCUCUGGAAAAAGGACGUUAACAAGGGAGCAGCCAUUUGGUUCUGUGCAGAGAGCACCUGGAAGCCGGAGACAUCAGAGCCCCUGGAGCUGGAGUUAGAAGCAUUUGGGAGCCACCUGACAAGUGCUGAAAACCAAGCAUGGGUCCCCUGGAAGAGCAGUAAAUGCUCUUAACUGCUGAGUCAUCCCCCCAUCCCCAAGACUCUGGCUUCAAUUGGGAAACGGUGAGGAGACUGUGGAUGGCUGGCAAAGCACAAGUUCCUAAAGCCAAAUGGAGAACACAUCACAAGCCCAGUGGAGCCACCAAUAUGGAAAGAGACAUCAGGACCAACAGCUACUGGAUUUAGCAAUGCAACAAUCACUGCCGACCUGAACACAAGCUGUCUGUUUACACAGUGCAUCCGCAGAGAUGGGAAAAGGAGCCAUAGGAGGCAGGAAAAGUACUUUCAGGGUGUUCUUCUCUAAAGGAUAGGAGAAAAUGAGGUACUAGCUGUGACAGUGGGGUUGACAUAGGUAUUUGUUUGUAUAAGAUGACGUGUCGUUUUUGCAAUGGGAAUUGUGACAGUUGGUCUUGCUUGUCAACUUGCUCAGAUUA